rnacentral:rRNA from 1 species
AGCGAACGCUGGCGGCAGGCCUAACACAUGCAAGUCGAACGCCCCGCAAGGGGAGUGGCAGACGGGUGAGUAACGCGUGGGAACGUACCCUUCGGUUCGGAAUAACUCAGGGAAACUUGGGCUAAUACCGGAUACGUCCGUGAGGAGAAAGAUUCAUCGCCGAAGGAUCGGCCCGCGUAAGAUUAGCUAGUUGGUGAGGUAACGGCUCACCAAGGCUAUGAUCUUUAGCUGGUCUGAGAGGACGAUCAGCCACACUGGGACUGAGACACGGCCCAGACCCCUACGGGAGGCGGCAGUGGGGAAUAUUGGACAAUGGGCGCAAGCCUGAUCCAGCCAUGCCGCGUGAGUGAUGAAGGCCUUAGGGUUGUAAAGCUCUUUCGGCGGGGACGAUAAUGACGGUACCCGCAGAAGAAGCCCCGGCUAACUUCGUGCCAGCCGCCGCCGUAA